AACUUGUUUCCCUAAUGGGAGUCAGACUUUUGUGCUUCUCUGCGACACACCCUUCCAAAACAUUUUAUUUGUGUGGCACUUUCACAGCAGGUGUAGCUGUAACAACGCGGGUUUACAGAACAUUUCAUUAAAACCUGCUCAUUUCGGGAUCUGAUUUUCAGAUAAGCCUGGAGUGUGUCCGAAUAAAGUGGGGGUUAUGGCGCAUUGUGGAAACCACUGCUUUGAUGACAGAGACUGUCCUGACGAGAAGAAAUGCUGCCACAACGGGUGCGGAUUUGAUUGCUUGGUACCUUUCAAAGUGAAGCCGGGCCGCUGCCCUCUGCACCAAGGAACGUGUGCAGAGAAUUGCUUCCAUGACGGUCAGUGUGCAGGUGACCAGAAAUGCUGCCAGACAGCCUGUGGUCUCGCCUGUUCUCAGCCCCUCUGAGUUGACAACAAUCAACUUCAUGACAAAAAUAUUUUCCUUCAAAAUGUGCCCUGGCUAAAAUAAAGGUUGGAAAACA